UACCAGCACCCCGAGUUGUCGGGACGAUUAUUGGGCCUAAAGCAUCCGUAGCCUGUUCUGCAAGUCCUCCGUUAAAUCCACCCGCUUAACGGAUGGGCUGCGGGGGAUACUGCAGAGCUAGGAGGCGGGAGAGGCAAACGGUACUCAGUGGGUAGGGGUAAAAUCCAUUGAUCUACUGAAGACCACCAGUGGCGAAGGCGGCUUGCCAGAACGCACUCGACGGUGAGGGAUGAAAGCUGGGGGAGCAAACCGG
rnacentral:rRNA from 1 species